CUACGGACUUAAAUAAUUGAGCCUUAGAGAAGAAAUUCUUUAAGUGGAUGCUCUCAAACUCAGGGAAACCUAAAUCUAGCUAUAGACAAGGCAAUCCUGAGCCAAGCCGAAGUAGUAAUUAGUAAGUUAACAACAGAUAACUUACAGCUAAUCGGAAGGUGCAGAGACUCGACGGGAGCUACCCUAACGUCAAGACGAGGGUAAAGAGAGAGUCCAAUUCUCAAAGCCAAUAGGCA
rnacentral:ncRNA from 1 species